AUUAGGUGGUUAGGGUUUUGUGUUGUUGUUGUUUUAAAUUAAGCCCUGGCAAGAUAUCUGAGCACAGUGUUCAGAGCAAGGCUCAGAGCAGGGUGGCAGGCAGAGGAAGGAGGGGUGGCCCAACUGCUGGUGUGGGAGGUGGAGGAAGAUGGUACAGGGUGCCACACGUACCUGUUGCCCAAUUCUUUGCCCUCGGUGAGGUGGUGGCAUGAAGGUUCUCCUACCUGGAAGAGCCUGCUGCUGCCGAAACAGGUCCUGCAGGUGCACUGCCAGAGAUGCCGCCCCGUGGAGUCUGGCAGUCCAGGGGGCUCUCCUGCCAGGGAGACUGUCUUUGAUUGAGGGCAGGUGCUCAACAGCUGGGAGUGCAGCAAGACUGUCCCUCUCUCCCCCACCCUGCAUGCUUCUUUCACCACUCAGUGGGGCCCCGCUGCCCAAGUCGUGGCAGAGACUUCUGGGGCCAAGACAGACUCUGAGGAAGGGUCUGCUGCUGUGGAGGAGGUGCCUCCUCAGCCAGGUCCUUCUGGCACACAGGGUGGGGGGUGGCAGUGAGUGGCCAGUAGCCAUCUGUCACCAAAGCAUCCCACGACGGCAUCCAGGACAUUGGAGGCCACCACAAGCAUUGUCUGGAGGCACUUUGAGGUCCCUCAAAAUGCCUCCAGCAUCUCUAGCGUCCAGAGCAAGUGGGUGUUUUCACAUGCUGUCGAUGCGGUAACACCUGUUCGUUCCCGUAUGGACCCUAGCUUAGUUGAGCAAUUGGUCUUCCUGAAGGUCAACCUUUCCCUGCUCGGCCGCCCCAAGCUGGAAUUUUGAGCUGGGCGAGUGAUUGGCCCAUGAUUGACCUGUGGUGUUGGUCACCUGCCCAGCAACAGCUUCCGCUCACCCUAACCCUCCCGCCCUCUUUCCUAAGCCGUGCUGUGUUGCAGCGUGCUGCUAGUGCUGUGACAUAACACAACUGGACACACACAAGCACACAGGCACCACCCAUGAUGCUGAACAUCCCCUGGUAUAGAUGCUAGGUGGCUCCGGGGGGGGGGGGUUGCACUGUGCACGGGACUCUGUGUAGAUGUGUUAAUUUUUGUACAUGUAUAUGUGGCAGUUCCGUGGAGACUUUGGUUUGUGUAGAUAGUUAGGUGUGGGUUUGUUGGUGUGUAAAUAGCUCUUUGUGUGUGCAUACUUGUAUAUAAUAUAUUUGUACAAUAUGUAUAUAGGAUCCCCUUUCUUUUCCCUCCUCAGUUAGUUUUAGCACCCCCACACAUGCAUGCACACACAUACAUGCAUCCACAAACAUGCAUGCAUUGCAAAUGAUGAGUCAGUGGUCUGGUGCCACUACAUGUCUGAGUCUAGCCUUACUAAUAUGUGGGCUCUCAGCAAAGAUGUGGUGGACCUGCCAGUUGGAGGUGGAUUUUCCUUUAUUUUAGCAUGCACAAAGAGAAGAGAAGAAAACAUCUCAAGAUAGGAGGAGGAGAACCAAGCUUCCCUCGUGAGAUAGAUGCUGCUUCUUCCCCUGCAUCCUCCACACCACUGAGCCUGGUUUGAGCUUCAGCCAACACCAAGGAGACAAUGAGUGCAUCAUAACAGAGAAACCACAGCCAGAACAUUGGGGAAAUGAUCUGCACAUGGAAUAACUCAGCUACAAGCAACAGCUUAAAUCCUCAAAGCAACUGCAAAUAUUAGUCUCAAGCAUCUGAACACCUGUAUAAGAAAAUUAUUCUGAAAAAAGGUUGUCAUUAGAGUAGCUGUUUCUUGGCAUGUUCUUAGGCAGCUUUGUGAGUGACUUAACUCUUCCAAUGAUCUUUCCAAACCCAAAGGCCACCUAAAGCUUUCAGGACAAAUGCAGACUUAUUUUGAUACGACUAUAGUAAAACUCAAUUUUACAAAUA